UCAGGUGAUGCUGCCCAUACAUACCAAAUAAGAAAAUACCCCAAAUAAAGCACAUAAAUCACUGAAUACUUGUUUCACACAUUAGUCUAGACUUGAACAGUAAGCAGAAUAAUCCAUGCCUGAAGGACUGGAAGCUGAGAGAACACUGCAUUUCUUCCCCUGUGCUGAUGGGCAAAGGGACUUUUGCCUCAGGUAUCAUAAUACAGCUGGGGCUGCAUCAUAAUGCAGCUGAGCUGGGGCUCAACUGCCCAGUUGAAGUCUUGUAUAUGAAGCAUCUAUUUUUUUUUUCUGUAAGUGAAUUAAUGUAUAAUUUCAUCCACUGUAAAGAAUAAUAAAGCUCAGCCCUUGCAGAGUGAGUUAGGGCGUUACACCCGCUGGUAGCACUGGCACAUCUACAUAUUUAUGGGCAUUCAGCUACCAGGACAGCAAUAUUGCUCAGAGGCUUUCCUGCCAUCUUCAUUAGGUGUGAAAAAGCAGGUCUGACAGAAGCUCCCAGGCUGUGGAAUCUGCCAGAAGCAAAAGCAGCAGCUUAACACCAAUGGAAAGAUUGUCACAUUCCAAGGACAGCCCCUUCUGUCCACAACAUCUCACAGCAGUGAGUCUUGGAAUGGCAGUUCAGAGCUGGCCUACACAGUGUAUUAAAGAUUGAUUUCAGUCGAGAUAAGACUGUAAAGGUGUCUGCAUGUUGGACCUAGAAGACUCAAGGGAGAGAAUGGAUGAUGUCCACAUUCAGUCAAGCUGGACAGGAAGAUCCUUGACAUUGAAUUUAAGAGGAAUAGACUGUGGCCUUGAGACUUUCAAGACAGGAAUAUAUCAUUAUUUAAAGCCAUCUCUGCAGAGGAAGUGGUUCAGGUGUUCUGAUGUGCUUGUGGCUGAACUGCCAGACAGCAGACAUUGAACCCCA